AUUAGGGACGUCAGGGUGUGGAAAAAUGAGAUUAAUAACCUAACCUAAUUUCCCUACUGGGAACUUUCGCUGGUAGGGGUACUCUUAGGAGUAUAACUUUACAGAAAGAUAAAAUUUGCCCUCGAUGUCUUUAAUUUUAUU
rnacentral:telomerase_RNA from 1 species